GAGCGGCGGACGGGUGAGUAACGCGUAGGAAUCUACCUAGUAGAAGGGGAUAGCCCGGGGAAACCCGGAUUAAUACCGUAUACCUCCUUCGGGAGAAAGAAGGCCUCUCUUUGAAGCUUUCGCUAUUAGAUGAGCCUGCGUAAGAUUAGCUUGUUGGUGAGGUAAAGGCUCACCAAGGCUACGAUCUUUAGCUGGUCUGAGAGGACGAUCAGCCACAUUGGGACUGAGACACGGCCCAGACUCCUACGGGAGGCAGCAGUGGGGAAUAUUGGACAAUGGGCGCAAGCCUGAUCCAGCCAUACCGCGUGUGUGAAGAAGGCCUUCGGGUUGUAAAGCACUUUAAGCAGGGAGAAAAAGUUAUAAGUUAAUACCUUAUAACCCUGAUGUUACCUGCAGAAUAAGCACCGGCUAAUUCCGUGCCAGCAGCCGCGGUAAUACGGAAGGUGCAAGCGUUAAUCGGAAUUACUGGGCGUAAAGCGCGCGUAGGUGGUUUGUUAAGUUGGAUGUGAAAGCCCUGGGCUCAACCUAGGAACUGCAUCCAAAACUAACUCACUAGAGUACGAUAGAGGGAGGUAGAAUUCAUAGUGUAGCGGUGGAAUGCGUAGAUAUUAUGAAGAAUACCAGUGGCGAAGGCGGCCUCCUGGAUCUGUACUGACACUGAGGUGCGAAAGCGUGGGUAGCGAACAGGAUUAGAUACCCUGGUAGUCCACGCCGUAAACGAUGACAACUAGCUGUUGGAAGACAAAGUCUUUCAGUGGCGCAGCUAA
rnacentral:rRNA from 1 species